AACGAACGCUGGCAGCAGGCUUAACACAUGCAAGCCGAACGCCCCGCAAGGGGAGUGGCAGACGGGUGAGUAACGCGUGAGAACAUACCCUUUUCUACGGAAUAGCUCUGGGAAACUGGAAUUAAUACCGUAUACGCCCUACGGGGGAAAGAUUUAUCGGGGAAGGAUUGGCCCGCGUUGGAUUAGCUGGUUGGUGGGGUAAAGGCCUACCAAGGCGGCGAUCCAUAGCUGGUCUGAGAGGAUGAUCAGCCACAUUGGGACUGAGACACGGCCCAAACUCCUACGGGAGGCAGCAGUGGGGAAUAUUGGACAAUGGGCGCAAGCCUGAUCCAGCCAUGCCGCGUGAGUGAUGAAGGCCUUAGGGUUGUAAAGCUCUUUCACCGAUGAAGAUAAUGACGGUAGUCGGAGAAGAAGCCCCGGCUAACUUCGUGCCAGCCGCCGCGGUAA
rnacentral:rRNA from 1 species